rnacentral:lncRNA from 1 species
UUCGUCAAAUGGAGUACACCUAAAAAGUCUACAAAAACGGAAGAAAGUAAUUGAUAGAAGGUUCUCCAACUGUGGCCAACUCAAGUCCCAGUGUGCUAGUGAGAGAGCAGUUGGGCUUCCCUGUCCCCACAGCUGCCUGUGAAUUUCGGCCCUUGAAGCAGGGAGAGGGGGAGCCCGAGGCCGUCUCCACUGUGAAUGUGGCCCAUGGAGAUGUCUCGCUCUUGAGGAGAAAAAGUCACAGCCAGGCAGCAGGAGGGGUGAACAUUCGUCAUGGGCCGAGGCUCUUCCUAGCCCCACUCUCCACCCCAGCAGCCCGGGUGAAUCAGGCAUUGAGGACGGCCCUUUGGCCAGAACCAGGGUGCCCAACUGGGACUCUCAUCAGCCCGAACGAGGUGGAGUUUUCUUUCUUUUCUUUAUUCUUUUUUUUUUUUUUUUUUGAGACGGAGUCUUGCUCUGUUGCUCAGGCUGCAGUGCAGUGGUGUGAUCUUGGCUUAUUGCAACAUCCGCCUCCUGGGUUCAAGCAAUGCUCCUGCUUCAGCCUCCACUAGUAGCUGGGAUUACAGAUGCACGCCACCACACCCAGCUAAUUUUUAUAUUUUUAGUAGAGAUGGGUUUUUGCCAUGUUGGCCAGGCUGGUCUCGAACUCCUGACCUCAGGUGAUCCAACUGCCUCAGCCUCCCAAAGUGCUGGGAUUAUAGGCAUGAGCCAUGGUGCCCGGCCAAGGUGGAGUUUUCAAAAAGAACUUUCACCAGGUCAUCAAUGGCAAACAAAGGCCAAAUGAGUGGAAAGAAAGAGGUCCGUUCAUAUAACACAUGAUUCUUGCAAACUCCUUAUUUCAAACUCCCUAUUGACAGUACUGCCUCAACUGCCCAGGGCAGCUUCAAAAUGAAGAUCCCAGAAUCAUCCUCCAAACACUGCUUCUUCUGCUCGUCAGCAUCCACUUUCCAAGUCAGCAUCCAGGGGUAAUCAUUCUGACGAAUACAGGAGCACACAGCCUUCUGCUGACUCCAAUCUUCUUGCUUGGCAGCCUGGCCCCCACUGAUCCUGUAUGCUCCCCUACAUAACCCCAGGGAUGGGCACUUGUGCUGCGCUCUGCCCACCUGUAGCACAGAAUCUAAACUCCGGAUCUCUACUUCCAGAAAACCCAUACCGUAAGGAUUAACUGGGCUACAGAGCAGGUAUCCACUGUGACCCCACAGUGCCUGACGAAUGUCUCUGCUCAUUUCCUUGUGAAGAAAAUUCUUCUGGGCUAAGGAUGAGUUGUUUUCAGAACACACCGUUUCCAUAUGCUGCUUUCUGACAACUCCUCCUGAUGGUCUACUCUACUCUCAAUGCAAUGCUUCCUCGCUGAGAAUGCCCUGUUAGUGGACAGACCCUGCUUUGCACUCAGGGCUUCUGACCCUCCGCUGCCAUCCCAGGCGUGUGUCCAUGUCUCCCUUCUGCUGCAUACAGCUGAAGUCCUGCGAUUUACUUCCUCCCUGAGGCAGUGUCCCACUCAGGGCACGCCUGUCAUUAUUGUUUCCACUUACCGUGCAGGAACAAGCCAGAAAGACCAGGGAAUUAACACCUCUUGUGAACAGCUCUCACCUAUGGGCACCUCCAGCCCUCACCUCCCUGCUCAAUGGCAGAGCUUGGAGCACUAGGAAUGAAGCUCUCCCCAGAAGUCCCCAUGGGUUGGGGACACUUGUCUACAGCCCUGCCAAAGGCAUGUGCUCAGAGGAUUUGGCAGCAUGGUUUGAUCCUAGCCACGAACAAUCUCUCCCAACUCCGGACACUUUUUGGUAAUGCUGCAUUUAUAAACCACAUGGUUCAUCUUUAUGAAAUGACCAAGCAGAACACGGGUGUGCACAUCUUUGCAUCAGAUACAAACACAACCAGCAUUUAAAUGAGCACCUACAAUGUGGCAGAUUCCAUGCCCAGUGGCUCUUUGUAGCAUUUAAAUAAAGAUUGUUUCUUUAUUUGCAUUGGAGUGAGCUGUAUGGCCUUCGUCCCAUGUCCUGACACUCCUCAUUAGCCUCGAUAGCAUUGUGUUGGUUACUCAUGCAGUGCAAAGA